GACGAACGCUGGCGGCGUGCUUAACACAUGCAAGUCGAACGGAAAGGCCCUGCUUUUGUGGGGUGCUCGAGUGGCGAACGGGUGAGUAACACGUGAGUAACCUGCCCUUGACUUUGGGAUAACUUCAGGAAACUGGGGCUAAUACCGGAUAGGAGCUCCUGCUGCAUGGUGGGGGUUGGAAAGUUUCGGCGGUUGGGGAUGGACUCGCGGCUUAUCAGCUUGUUGGUGGGGCAGUGGCUUACCAAGGCUUUGACGGGUAGCCGGCCUGAGAGGGUGACCGGCCACAUUGGGACUGAGAUACGGCCCAGACUCCUACGGGAGGCAGCAGUCGGGAAUAUUGCACAAUGGGCGGAAGCCUGAUGCAGCAACGCCGCGUGCGGGAUGACGGCCUUCGGGUUGUAAACCGCUUUCGCCGGUGACGAAGCGUGAGUGACGGUAAUGGGUAAAGAAGCACCGGCUAACUACGUG
rnacentral:rRNA from 1 species